UGGGGAAUAUUGCACAAUGGGGGAAACCCUGAUGCAGCGACGCCGCGUGAGCGAAGAAGGCUUUCGAGUCGUAAAGCUCUGUCCUAUGAGAAGAUAAUGACGGUAUCAUAGGAGGAAGCCCUGGCUAAAUACGUGCCAGCAGCCGCGGUAAUACGUAUGGGGCGAGCGUUGUCCGGAAUUAUUGGGCGUAAAGGGUACGUAGGCGGAUAAGCAAGUUAGAAGUGAAAUCCUAUAGCUCAACUAUAGUAAGCUUUUAAAACUGCUCAUCUUGAGGUAUGGAAGGGAAAGUGGAAUUCCUAGUGUAGCGGUGAAAUGCGCAGAUAUUAGGAGGAAUACCGGUGGCGAAGGCGACUUUCUGGACACAAAUCUGACGCUGAGGAACGAAAGCGUGGGUAGCAAACAGG
rnacentral:rRNA from 1 species